AUGAUAUCACUUCUCACUAUGAUGAUCACUGAGAUGUUUGCACUCUCAGUUAGUUGUGACUUUGUAGUUUACAUUUUAUUUGAAACAGACUUUCAUACCAUUGAGCAGGCAGUUUCAUGGAGGAUGGAUGUGGGUCCCGCUCAUCACUGGCCCCAAGAAAACAUUUUCUGGGUCUCCUCAAAGAAGAUACACCAGAUUUAAAGCCCUAUUACAUUGAAAAACAUCACAAGUUGCUUCGUUUUUUGAGAACAAACUAAACAAAAAUGCUUCAGUGGCAGCAGAUAAAAGUAAAACAUACUUUCCAUCAACAGCAACAUGACUAAGUUUUUGCCUCUGUGUUUGUGUCUUCACUAAAACAAUAGUCAGCAGACCACGGAGAAAACUCCCACCUGUUUGGACUGCAUUUGGAGCAUUAAACCGGCUUGGUCAUUCGGCGAGAGUUAAAAAGACAAACUGGAUGAAGCCGCUUCUGGUUUUGAUUUCAUUUGAGAGAGUGUCUUUUCUACUCUUGCACAAGAGCUAACCUGUCCUCCGGUUGGACGGCGGCCAAGUGAACAUGCCGAGACCGACUCGGAUCCUCAGUGCAUUUCCCCGUCAUCUGUAAACCCACCACCUCCGACAGGCCUUGAUAGCAUAUCGCUGUGUAAUUACAGAAGGACCCAGAAGAUCUCCGCAGAGCCGAACCCACACGUGCAGUCUGUAAAAUGUGUGUAUAAACGAGCUCAUGACUCAACAGUGAUAUUUUGCAACAGUGGCUGUUAAGAUGCAUUGUUAACCUAUGAAAAAAGUUAAGCUAGAGUGGACAGGAAUGCUCUGAAAUGAUGAAUUUCUGUCUACCACUUAUAAAUGUGUGUAUGUGUGAGAAAGUUUGUGUCAAGACUUUCAACAAAAGUAGAACUGUCCCCCCCUAAUGGCUCCAUAUUGCCUCAGAAAUUUUUACUUCGCUGGCUCGCUCUCCCUCUCCCUCUCCCUCUCCCUCCCUCUCUCUCUCUCUCUCUCUAUAUAUAAAUAAUUUUAUUCAAAUAAUUUAACUCUCUGAAAGGUAGUCUUGCAGUUCUCAAGUAAAUGUGUUUUGUUUUAAGAACGCUUAGAUCUGUCAUGGUGAAAAAGGACAAAAAGGCUGAUUAACAAAUUAACCUGCCUCGUUUAUACAACAGAUUUUUCGUUAUUACCAUGGUGAUGUGCACAACACUGAGAACAAAUACAUAAAAUAUAUGCAUUUGCAACAGAUGCUGAAAAUGUAAAGCAAAAAACAAACAAGAGGAGGCCUUUAUGACCACCUCUAAACUCAGGACCACCUAAAUGUUUUCCGUCUCAUGCUCACAGAAGCCAUAAUGCUGUAAUGAUUUAAUUGCUCUGGGACUGCAAGGCUAAUAAGGUUUCUAAAUCAGUCUGCUUUAUUUGUUUUCUUUUUGACUUGCGGCAAGAGGAAAAAUGCAGUGGGUCUAAUUGGAACACUGUCAUUAAGAGAUAUUCAGUAUUAAAGUUUCUUCCUUUAGUAAUAGUUCUGUGGGUUUUUAUAGCUGACUUCUGUUCCUCUUGUCAAAGCAACUUCAAGAAGGAAGUUUUUUUAAAGCCAAUGUAGCUGUGUCAUAAAAUACAGUAGUUUCUUAGCAGCACACAGAUCCCGAGAGAUGUGGUGAAGAAAUGGAGACCACCGUCUUCUUAUUGCAUCAUGGAUAGCUCCUGGUGGGAUGAGCGAAUUUUUGUAAUACAGAACAGAUGGCUUUAAUGUUUUAGUCCUAAAAAGAGACACAAGUGUAACAAAGUGAGGAAAAAAGUUAUUAAAAUUUCAGUGUUGUUGUUAUACCCCUUAGCAAAGUCAAUACAUUUUAGUCUAAUGCAAUAAUAUUAACAAUAUUAUAAUUUUCACGGGGAAAAAGAGAAUCAUCUCCCGAUAAAAAUGGCCAGAAUGCAAAAUGAGAGGUAAAGGAAUAGUUCAUAAAAAAAAAAAGAAUUAAAAUGGCUAAAAAAUUUUCCAAGAUGUAGAUGUGUUCUUCAUUAGAACAGAUUUGGAGAAAUUUUGCAUUGCAUCACUUGCACAACAAUGAAUCCUCUGCAGUGAACAGUGAAUGGGUGCCGUCAGAACGAGAGUCCAAACAGUUGAUAAAAACAUCACAAUACUCCACAAGUAAUCCACACCACUCCAGUCCAUCAAUAAAUGUCUUGUGAAGUGAAAAGCUGCA
ensembl:lncRNA